ACAACAUUGAAAAAUGGAACCAUCUUUCAUAUUUUUAGCAUAUCAGAAUAAAGAUAAAUCAAGACCUGCACAGUUUGCUUCCACCUAUGAAAUGCAGUCACUCGAUUGCAGUAGGCAAACUUUGGUUUCCCAAUGUAAGCUAUAUGCAUAGGUCUGCUACAACAAAACAUCAUUUGCAACAUGCUUAUUUCAUAAGUAAGAUCUAAAUCCAUUAGAAGUAAUUAAUUCUAAUUGGUUUGAAAAAAGUGAAAUUGUGGCGCCAACAAGGGUGAUAGUGGGCCACUUUUAAAAAACACAAAUUCCAUACCAUUGCAAUCCUUUUUUUUCGCACCAAACACUUGAAGAAAAGUUCUCAUUCAGAAAAAUUGUGCAGGUCACGAGGCAUGUAUUGAAGGGGUUGUUUCUCAGGUGAAAGGGUAUGGAUCACUAUCCUCAAAUAUCGCCAAAACGAGCGCGAGCACGGAGAAUGCUCAUACGCAAACAAAAAUACGUAAAACGUCUCAAGACCACAAAGAAUACACCUAAAGCUAAUAAUGUCGACAUUGGUGUUGGAUCUUCUCUAUUUCCAUUAUCUACUACUACUCCAGCGUACACACCAAAUGCAUCAUCUUUGAGAAAGCCUCUUGCUGAUAUUACGACAUCCAUAAACAAUAGAAAAAAUAUCGAGCAAGUUGUGGCUGAAGGAGAUAGGCUUAGUGCAAUGCUUGGAGGUUCCUUGCCUCGACCAAGUUAUAAUGGUUUUAGGAAUCCGAAGACGUGUUUGAACAUACAAGACGUAGGGACUAACCUUAUGGAUAGAUUUGCAGCGCAUGAUAAAGAGGUAUUUCCCGGAAAGUAUGUACAACCAAAACGUGGUCGUGGACGUCCUAAGAAGAUACAAAUUGAUACCAAUCAUACAAUAUACCCCCAAGGUCAUGUCGAAACUGGAUCAUCAAGUACUGUUAACAGGUCUGCUGUCGUUGCAUUCAUAAGUAUUUUAAUUGUUUUAGUUAAAUUUGUCAUAUAACAUAUCUAUGCUUUAUGAUGUUGUAUUUGACAUUGUAGCGGGGAUAAUCUGAGAUCGAAGCCAUGGAAUUGACUUGACUCAAUAUUUUAGUGAAAGUCGCCACCGCGCUUUAUUGUUUCCAAAGGAAAAGGGAAAAGAACGAAAAAAAAACCCAAAGUUUGUUUUUAAAACAAGAGAGAUCUUAGGUACGGGUGUUGAUUAUACAAGGGGAAGGUUUUAAGCACCCCUCAUAUCUGUGGUACUCCACAGGAACCUUUUUGAAAAUCUGUGUCGUGUGUGUGUCGCUACCGCGAAAAUUAACAGAGUCGCCACUAACAUAUUUAUCCUGGAAAGGAAGGGAAUGCCAGCAAACCACAAAACAAAACAACGGUCUCACGACCAGAGAAAAGGGUAAGGGAGUCGGUUACGCGAGGGGAAGGUGCUAGCACCCCUCGCGCCCAUCGUACUCGAUGGUAUCCACGCUUGUGUCUAAAAGGGUGUGUAACAAAUCUACGCUAAUCUGGACUAAAAUGAAAGCAGAAUGUAGGGAAAAGAAAGUGUUAUGCUCGUACGGGCCCUACCCCGCUGCCUACGUAUCUGUUUUGCAGAAUCAGAGCUACCGUAGCUCGGCUAACUAAUUUCUGUUUGUUUUGUGUUUUUUAGGUGAACGAGUUACAUUCGCACUCCGCUGCUCGACCUUUGGAGACUUAUGCUUGGGAAUGGAGCGGAAAUAACAAGUUCUUAAGAAAAGAAAAUCAAAGAGUGUGGUUUGUGUUUUAAAGAAUGCAUGAGGAUAACCUAAGCUAAGGGGGGAAAGCUUGCUACCUAAUGUUAGCAUACAAAGGGUACAAGUCUAAGCUAGCCUAACAACCUAUAGGAAAAAGGGAAGCAAACAAUGAGCACACAAACGAGCAUCCGCUCGUAAAGCAAACAAAACCAACGGUACUGACCGAAUGGUAGAAAAGCGGUCCCGCCAUAGCCAAGGGGAGCAGCUCAACCCAAGUCAACCAAGCAUUAGACCUCGCGAAAAUGAUCGGGCCAUAGACAAGAGGGCGGACCCCUCUCAGCAACCAAGCCGUCACGGAUCGUAAAGGAAAACGGUGCGUGCGUACACCGAGCAUCAACGUCGAGCGACGCGAGCUAUAGGAAAGGCGGGGGUCCGGCUGCAUGAACCCUUUUCCUGACAUACUCGAUAACAAGAUCUUGUGCAGGUUCAGAAGCGAGCCACGCGUAGCGUGCGCAUAUUGAACAGACUCGAUGAGACUAGGCGGGGGUUGAUUGCUAACCCUUUCCGCAUGCCUUCCAUGAGGACUUAACGGAGUGCCAUAUAGGACUUAUUACACCGUGACUCCCUGCCGCAAAGCACAAAUGUAAACACACCAACAAAAACAGAGCCUCUUUCGAGGGCUUGGCCAGAUGCAUGUCUAGGUCCUACUUCUCAUGUUAUAGGAUGAUGCGGAAAACGGUAAAAGGGACAAGGAGAUACCGAGCGGAUAGCAAAUCCGCAGUGAGCUAGCAAGCGUAAGCAGAGAAGAAACUUCACGUAAUCUAACAUCCAUCAAAGCCAGGAGUCCAGCAUAAGCGUCAAAGCGAUGCGGUGUGAAAAUAAAUCACAACCGCUAUGUAGUGCGUAUUAAACACAACCACAUAAGCAACCUGCAAGAGAACACAAGCCAGACAAUACAGGAAUAUACAUCUCAAUGAAUGAGAGACCAGAUGAAUCGCAUCGAAAUAGUUCGUGUCCCACAAAUAAAGUGGAACACAACACAAGUCAAGUCACACCGGAAGCGAGUUCGUGUCCCACAAAUAAAGUGGAACACGAAGCAAUCGAAGGCCCUCUCGAAGUACCUCGCACAUCUCAACAACCAAAUCAGUAAUAACAAGGAGGCAUGCACCCGCCAUAGAAAAUAAGAGGAAAUAAAUUCUAAAUGAAUUCUAAAAGAAAAUCUAGCAAGAUUAAAUUGUUUUUUUAUGACAUUUUCAUCUAAAAAUAAUAGAACAAAACUAUGUAACAAAAGCAAUUAAAUCCUAACAAGCAAAAUAUUACAUGUUUUUGAUUAUUUUUAUAAGGCUAAAAAUCUAACAAAAAUUGUUUUUGUACUACAUUUUUAUCAUGAAAGAAAAAUGCAAAGAAACUAAAUCUAACAAUAAAGAAAUGUGAGAACCAGGGGGGGUUUAUUUUGAAAUCAGUGAUGCAGUCAGCAAGGAAGGCGCAGGCCCAAGGAUUGAGGCCCACAAUGUUUUUUUGUCACAGUUUUCAGCACACAAAAACCGCGUGCUUUGGGCUAAGGGGAGGUGUGAAUACAGAAUGCAUGCUAGGCCCAUGGAGUAGUCCAUCAACAUAUCUUAUGAUUCAGAUUUUUAUUAAUUCAAUAUCAACUUGAUUAAGCAUGCAAUUAUCCUUUAUUUAAUUGUCCAGAUUAAGCUCCAAACAUUCACGUUAAUAUCAAUUAACCAUGCUAACAUCAAAAUUAAUAAAAAUAAACUGAAUCAAAAGGAUUAGGGUUAGAAAUUUCAAACAUUAUCCUCUCCUCUCUCUCACGAAGCGCCGACGGCGGCGACGAUUGCUUCCCUCCGGCGGAGACUUUCCUCCUCGGUAUCAACAGAACGAACGUCAUCUCAUCCCUCCGCCUUACCUCUCUCGAUUGAAACCUUUCCGUUCACUCUCUUCUCCGAUUUCUCAUCGUUCUCAAUCUCUCUUCCUCACAAGCUCAGACGCGAAGGCGAAGAUUCAGUGUUGUGAUUGAAGUUUGUCGGAUGAAGAAGAUUGAAGCGGUGUCGCGGCUAAAGUCGAAUGGAGAAUGAUUCAAUGAGGAUGCGAAGUCGAAGAUCUUCAGCGGAGGCUUGAUGCGUGGAGAUGCGGUUUUGGCUGUGGAUGAAGGUUGAAGAUUGAACCGUGAAGGAGAGAAAGAAGAUGUUGAUUCAAAGACGAUGAUGAACGUGCAGCGUGAUUCAGAAUCUGGUGAAGAUUGAUUGAUGAAGGGAGAAUGAGAAAUUGAAUCGAGAGUAUCGUGACAAAGAUGAUGAAGAACUGUGAUGAAGAACUGUGAUGAAGAACCGGUGAUGAAGAUGAUCGAAGUUGUUGAAGAAGAUUGCGGUUACAAAUUGUGCUCAAGAUGCUUGUUGUUAUUCCCGUCAACGAUGAAAAGUGAUUAUGAACGUGAUUUAUGCAGAGAAGAGUUUGAAGAUUUUCUUGUGAUUGUAUUGGAGAGGUGAAGAAGAUUUAGAGAGAUUGAAGACUGUCGAGAGUGAGAAUUCGAGGGAGUUUUUCUGUUACAUUUUCUGUGAGUUUUUGUGUAGAAAUGAAGAAGAUGGAGGAGAAGCUUGAUGAAGGUGAUAGAAAGAGAUGAAGAGCGUGCUUGUGGUGAUGAUUAUUGUUGCAGAAGAUUGAUUAUGGUCGAAUUUGUGAAGGUUGAAUCGAUGUUGAUGAAGGUGAGAUUGAAGAGGAUUCAGCGUGAAAGUUUUUUACAGGUUUUUGUUGUGAGUUUCUGUUAUGAUUUCUCUUCCUCUCUGUUCUGAACCGAUUUGGUUUUCUGUUGAGUAUGCAGGCUGAAACGGCUUAAACUUGGAUCGAUUUUGUUGUGUUGGAAGCUGCAAGUCGGUUUAAUUUUUGGAAUGGUCAAAGCCUGUUUCAUGUUGCUGCUGGAAUUAACUCUCAUUUUGAAAUGUGUUGGUUUUGUAAAACAUUUGGAUAUUGAACCGAUUUUGGUAUAUUCUUGUGUAUUUUUUUGAAUUUUGGAUAUUGAAUGGACUGGACUUUGAAUAUUCACAAUGAAAUGAA